GACGAACGCUGGCGGCGUGCUUAACACAUGCAAGUCGAACGGAAAGGCCCUGCUUUUGUGGGGUGCUCGAGUGGCGAACGGGUGAGUAACACGUGAGUAACCUGCCCUUGACUUUGGGAUAACUUCAGGGAACUGGGGCUAAUACCGGAUAGGAGCUCCUGCUGCAUGGUGGGGUUUGGAAAGUUUCGGCGGUUGGGGAUGGACUCGCGGCUUAUCAGCUUGUUGGUGGGGUAGUGGCUUACCAAGGGUUUGACGGGUAGCCGGCCUGAGAGGGUGACCGGCGACAUUGGGACUGAGAUACGGCCCAGACUCCUACGGGAGGCAGCAGUGGGGAAUAUUGCACAAUGGGCGGAAGCCUGAUGCAGCAACGCCGCGUGCGGGAUGACGGCCUUCGGGUUGUAAACCGCUUUCGCCUGUGACGAAGCGUGAGUGACGGUAAUGGGUAAAGAAGCACCGGCUAACUACGUG
rnacentral:rRNA from 1 species